CGGCUUUCAAAAAAGACACCCGGCUCCUCACUACUCAUGUGAGAGGAAUUUUUGAAUGGGUACAGGUCGCCCUGUGGAGGAUCUGCCUACUUUGCAGAACCUUCAGAAGCUGUGAUCUGCCCG